rnacentral:lncRNA from 1 species
CCAGUUUGCAUCUUAGCUUUGGUAUGGGUGAGACUGUCUGGUCCCAAAUGUUGGUUCCAUCCCGAUAUAUUAUGUCUACAGAAGGCCUCAGCCCUGCAAGUCCAAUUUCCCUGUCAAAAUAAGGAAAUGAAACUAAUCUUGCAUGAUUGGCCCUUAGUGAACUCCCGCUGGCUUCAAAUGAUCACCUUCCCUCUCCAGGGCUCUAUAAAGCAUCUACUUGAAAGUUGUUUCUUUCUCGAUUCUUGCCGUUGGAUCCAGUUCCCAGGUCUGUUGCUGGGGAAGACACUUCACUUCCUCCUUGCAUAGAAAGUGUUAUGUCAGAGUUUUCAAACGAACCACAUGCUUUACAGAAAUAACUACCACGUAGGCGUAGUUGCCUAAAAUGGAGCCAGCACUGCUGCAAGAUAACUUCCAUGCUAAUUAUCUGAACAAUUUUCCAGUUGCUCAAAAUAAUAUGUUGUGUCCAUCUUCAGUGCUAGAGGAGAGGAGAGCAGGAGUUUUUCAUAAUAGUGAUUUUUUAAAAAAUCUUCUUGGAUUUGGCUUUCUAGAAGAUGUGGGGCUUAUAUUAGUCUGAUAAAAACAUACCUGAGACUGGGAAGAAAAAGAGGUUUAAUUGGACUGACAGUUCCACAUGGCUGGGGAGGCCUCAGAAUCGUAGUGGGAGGUGAA